rnacentral:lncRNA from 1 species
AUCCGCCGGAAGUGCGUCCGUCCGGGCGAGGAAGGAAAUAGGGCGCGGGGCGCCGGCCGUGGAAGAACUCCAUUCAGAGGCAGUCGUGAUAAACCAGAGCAUCAGCCCUUUCCGCUGGGAUACCAAUAAGUCUUGAACUUCAAAACUGCUGACCUAAAAAGGAUACUUGAGAAGGAGCAAGUCUUUCCUUUUUUCUUUUAAAGAAAGCAACACCAGAAGCAGUCGAACUUCCUUGUUCACUUAGGUGCAUGCAAAAAAGAAAACAGGUUUACUCUGCUUCAGGACCCUCUCUUACCCCUCAUGGCGUGAGCCUGAAGCCUGUCCACUGAGGAGCGUUCUAAGAACUUCCAGAUCAUUCCAUGGAACUACAGCAGAAAGGACCCGAGGUGAGAAGAGAAGGAAGUAUCGCCGGCGGGACAUCUUUGAGAGGCGACUUCCAGACAUCUUCUGGAACACUCUGAAGCAAGAGCGCCAGCAGCCUUUCAGAAGACCCCAUUCCAUCCCUGUGCCCUCGAUUUCAGCAUUUCUUCAACUGUCUGGAGCACACAGACAUACUCUUGGAGGCCUCAGAGUUCUAAAAACGAUCUGCAAAUUUUUGUCUUUUCCUUGGGAUCGCCAUCCAAAAGGAAGUGAUAUGUGAGCCUCCUCCGGUGACCGCGUUUCUUUUUUAAUUAGUACACUUUAUGUGGACGAGUGGUUUGAGGUUUACAGAGAAACUGAGUGAAAAGUGUAAACUCACCUUCCAGCCCUGACUCCUCCACCUCCAGUUCCCACGAUUAACAGCUUCCGUCUGGGUGGCGUAUUCGUCACAGUUGAGGAGCCCAUAGUAAUACAUUCUUAUUCAUUAAAGCCCAUACUUGGCACUAGGGUUCAUUCUCUGCGUUAUACAUCCUAGGAGUUUUGACAAAUGCAAUGACUCCUUUUUGUCCGAGGACCACCAGAGAGAUUUUCAGUCUUACCUUGCUUUUGUGUUUCGAGACCGGUUCCGCUUUAAUUGUCCCGGAUGAGUAAGACAGGAACAGAGUUGGACUUAAUAGGCAACACGUGAUGUCAGUUUUAGUGAUGGAAACUCACACGCCUCAGACAUGAAGGUUUGUCUGUGGUUCAGAAGAAGAAACGGGUUUGCUUGGAGUUACCCCAAGGCGUGCCGUGGUCUGCCCUCCCCAAGGCAGACGCCGUCAUCGCUGCCGUGUUCACAUCCUGAAAGGUGAUGUUUGUUUCAGCAAAUAGUAUUUCUCACAUUAAUAUAAGGCUAUUGCAAUAUCGCUGACAUUGUAGUUUGCAUUUGCCUUUGCAUUUGGAGGCGUAGUUUAAUUUGUAAGUUUGCACCACUGUGAGUAUAGGGACUUUAUACCUAGUCAUAUGCCCAUAAUUAAGAAAUGCUUUAGAGAAAAUAUUUGUAUAUGAUAUGACUGAUAGGAGGGGACUAUCCAAAAUAUGUAACAGCUCAUACAACUCAGUAUCAAAAAAAAA